rnacentral:misc_RNA from 1 species
CAAGUACUGAAGCCGCAUAAUACCCAGAUUCUCCUUUAGCUCCACGCACUCGCUAUCCAGAUCCCAAAGAUUUCCGCUUUGCAUCAAUAUCCCAACAAUGGGCGGUACGAAAUCGGCUUGCCAUAGUUCCAGUCUGUGGCUGUCUCCUAACCCUAGUAAGAGAUGGGGCGAGCUUUUCUUUCUUUGCUAUACACCUUUCU